GCGAGUCUAUUUGUGGAUCAGGACAUGGUAAUUCCCAAGUAUUCUGUAAUUACAAAUACGAAAAUGUUUAAAUAUAAAUUUAAAAAUUAAUGAGAAAAUAACUGGGAGCAAUCAUAAAAUUUCACACAAUAUAUCCAUUUGCACUGAUGUGGAUAACAAUUUAAGAAAGAAUGUUAUUCCAUCUAACAUUCGAUCAUCAAGAGAAAAACGAAAGGGAAAGUAGUCAUUAGACUCGAUGAAAUCCAUAAUGGACAAGAAUCAUUGAAGACAAUUUCACUUACCACUAAACUUUGCUCCCAGUGCCUAAACAUGGAAGAGGAUGAAAGAGUAGAUCGCUGUUCCAAAGGAGAAUCCAUAGUUGCUACAAAGACCCCAAUUUCUUUAAUGAAUAUUUUAUGAUGAACUAUGUGCCCCAAUCUUCACCCUCACCUAGGAUAAAACCUAAAAUUCAUAAGAAGAAAUUUAGAAAAACCCUAAAUAAAGAUGCGGAAUAAUCUCAGAGCGAAUGAAGUUUCCACAAUCACAUUUUGUGGACAAUCAGAAAAUGUGUUAAAACCUGCCACAAGAAUUUUCCGUUUUCAAUAUCUAUAUUGCUGUGAAGAUUGACUUCAACUGUGGAUUGUUUAUAUUCGUGAAGAAAAACAUUCAUCCCUACAGAAUGUACUAAACGUUCGUUAAUAGCAACAUGGGCACAGUGUAAGUGAAAAAUUAUAAGAAUACUACAUACUGCUGUAAUCACAACCAAUGAUAAGCAAGGUAGCGAACUGUGAAAAGGAGAUGCAGAACUACAGAAGAAAUUGUAUAUCAAAUACUACACUUAAACGAUUUUCUUAGCAGAAUUUAGAGGAUAUUAGUAACAUAUUAUAGCAUCUUAUAUCUUCUAAAAUUUAAAGUUAUAGUAACAUGUAAUUGAAAUGGUAUCAUUUAGCACCUAUCUGGUUGUUUCUGAACAUAUUUCUCAAAUAAUAUAAUUAAUUGUCUAUUUCUGCAUACAUUUUCCUACUUCUAUCCCAAACUUCUCUAUUUGUAUGCCUAUCAAUGACAAGUGAAAGUAAGAAGUAUAAAAUAUAUGUUGUUGAUCAUUGGAAGAUAAAGAGUGUCAAACUUAUCAAUUUGACACUACUGACAGAUGAACUAUACGACCACAAUGUAAACAAACAUAAUAUAAACAGUCUUUGAAUGCAGAGUGAAAUAAGAAGAUCAGGUUUCAUUCACGCAUUUAUUCUGAAAUGUAAUGUCCAUUAAUGUAUGAGCAUAAAGUGUUGUUUGUUCAACUAUGUAAAUGUAAAUAUAUUAUUUCCAAUAAUAUCAAUUCUACCAUGUUUAAGUAUUCAAACAAAUUGAAUUACAAAACAAUCGAAUACAAAACUUACUAUGUUAGUAUUACAAUAGUUCUAUAUUGUAAAAAUAUAGUUACUAAUUACGGAAUGCUUCAAUUAAACUAUCAUAUUAGAAAGCAAAUAAUAUUUUUAAUAUUACCUUUUUAUCACAUUCAUUAUGUUCAAUUAACGGAAUAUAAAAUAAAUAACAAAAAGAUA